rnacentral:rRNA from 1 species
GAUGAACGCUGGCGGCGUGCCUAAUACAUGCAAGUCGAGCGAACGGACGAGAAGCUUGCUUCUCUGAUGUUAGCGGCGGACGGGUGAGUAACACGUGGAUAACCUACCUAUAAGACUGGGAUAACUUCGGGAAACCGGAGCUAAUACCGGAUAAUAUUUUGAACCGCAUGGUUCAAAAGUGAAAGACGGUCUUGCUGUCACUUAUAGAUGGAUCCGCGCUGCAUUAGCUAGUUGGUAAGGUAACGGCUUACCAAGGCAACGAUGCAUAGCCGACCUGAGAGGGUGAUCGGCCACACUGGAACUGAGACACGGCCCAGACUCCUACGGGAGGCAGCAGUAGGGAAUCUUCCGCAAUGGGCGAAAGCCUGACGGAGCAACGCCGCGUGAGUGAUGAAGGUCUUCGGAUCGUAAACCUCUGUUAUUAGGGAAGAACAUAUGUGUAAGUAACUGUGCACAUCAUGACGGUACCUAAUCAGAAAGCCACGGCUAACUACGUG